GGGCCCGGGAGGCCUAUCAAGGCGCAGGCAGCCCUCCCCUUGCCUGCUUCUCUCCCAGGGUGUCGUCUGGCCACCUGGAUCAGGCAUGUGCCUCCUUGCUGCCUGUCACGCCCCCAGGAUCCUCCUACCCCAGCGCCCUGGCUCUUCUCUCUGCCCAGAUGCUCCCCAGUCACCCACUUGGUCAACUUCCUCACCUCCUUUGAGUCUUUGCUUAAAUCUCACCUUCUCAGUAAGACUCUAGAGACCCUGGCUACUUAAAAUCGCAAUCGAACCCCACUCACAACUCCCCAACCCCUUGGCCCGCCUCUGCUUUUUCUUCUUCGGCAGCACUUCCUCACCGUCUACUGCAGGCAGAUGGACUUAUCUGUUAUCUGCAUUGCCUGGCAAGCAGGUCGGCUGCACAAGCACCUUUGUUUAGUUCCCUUAAAUGCAUCCCAAGCACCCACAAAGCCUUGCUGGCCACCUGGUAGACUGCUUAAUCAAUGAACUAAACGAACUCGACCUCAGAGCCCCUGUGCAGCCUGCGACAGCUCCUCCCACCUUCCAGAGGCCAAGCAGCUCUCUCAUCCUCUUCCUCUACAGCAACUAUCUUCAUCCCCCAUCAAAAUGACUUCAUGAAGCCAUCCCCUCCCAGUUCUCAGGGCCAGUCCAGCAAGCUGAAGCCCAAGGAAGGGAUGGAAACUGCCCCAGAGUCUUACCCCAGCAGAGUACUUGAAAGCAAGCAUCCAGCAGUACACAGGCUGCCCCAGGACCCCCGACACUGGGGUUAUCCCAGCAUUCCACUGGCAGCAGCUGCCCUGAACACGGUGCACAGGGACAGCGAACGGGUUUCCCCCUGGCUCCCAUUCUAGGUGAUUACUAGUGUGCCGCCCAACCUGGCAUGGCAAGAAAACACACCAUGAUAGACUAGUGAUGUCUUGGCUGGGAGUGGCAGGACUGGAAGGCAUGCCACUGGGCCGCCAUCCCCACAGGCCUUGCAGGGACUCCAAAGCAGUGCCGCCCAAGGGGAUUCUCCACGAUGAUGGAAAUGUGCUAUGUCAGCACUGCCCGAUUCAGCCACCAGGAGACACGUGGUUCCUCACCACUUCAGAUUUGGCUAACGUAUCUGAGGAACUGAAUUUUUAUUUAAUUUUAAAUUUUAAGUUAAAAUAGUCCCUGGGGGCUGGGCACGGUGGCUCUCGCCUGUAAUCCCAGCACUUUGGGAAGCUAAGGCAGGUGGAUCGCAAGGUCAGGAGUUUGAGAUCAGCCUGGCCAAUAUGGUGAAACCCAUCACUACUAAAAAGUAAAAAAAUGGCUGGGCACGGUGGCUCACGCCUGUAAUCCCAGCACUUUGGGAGGCUGAGGCAGGUGGAUCACAAGGUCAGGAGUUCGAAACCAGCCUGACCAACAUGCUGAAACCCUGUCUCUACUAAACACACACAAAAAAAUUAGCCAGGUGUGGUGGCGCGUGCCUGUAAUCCCAGCUACUCAGGAGGCUGAGGCAGGAGAAUCGCUUGAACCUGGGAGGCAGAGGUUGUAGUGAGCUUAGACGGAGCCACCACACUCCAGCCUGGGCGACAGAGGGGAGACUCCAUCUCAAAAAAAAAAAAAAAAAAAAGUAAAACAAUUAGCUGGGCGUAGUGGUGCGCACCUGUAGUCCCAGCUACUGAGGAGGCUGAGGCAGGAGAAUCGCUUAAACCUGGGAGACAGAAGUUGCAGUGAGCCAAGAUCAUGCCACUGCACUCCAACCUGGGCGACACAGUGAGACUGUCUCAAAAAAAAAAAAAAAAAUAACAGGCUGGGCGCAGUGGCUCAUGCCUGUAGUCCCAGCACUUUGGGAGGCCGAGGCAGGUGGAUCACAAGGUCAGGAGUUCAAGACCAGCCUGGCCAAGAUAGUGAAGCCCCAUCUCUACUAAAAAUACAAAUAUUAGCCAGGCGUGGUGGCAGGCACCUGUAAUCCCAGCUACUCGGGAGGCUGAGACAGGAGAAUCGCUUGAACCCAGGAGGCGGAGGUUGCAGUGAGCCGAUCUCAUGCCACUGCACUCCAGCCUGGCAACAGAGUGAGACUCCGUCUCAAAAAAAUAAAAUAAAAUGAAAAACAACAUAGGCUGAGCAUGGUGGCUCACACCUGUAAUCCCAGCACUUUGGGAGGCCAAGGCGGGUGGAUCACAAGGUCAGGAGAUUGAGACCAUCAUGGCCAUCAUGGUGAAACCCCGUCUCUACUAAAAUACAAAAAAUUAGCCGGGUGUGGUGGCAUGUGCCUGUAAUCCCAGCUAUUUGGGAGGCUGAAGCAGAGGAAUCACUUGAACCCAGGAGGCAGAGGUUGCACUGAGCUGAGAUCACGCUACUGCACUCUAGCCUGGUGACAGAGCAAGACUCCAACUCAAAAACAAAAACAAACAAAAAACAUAAAAUAGCCCCUGGGGGCUGGGCAUGGUGGCUCACACCUAUAAUUCCAGCACUUUGGGAGGCCAGGGUGGGUGGAUCGAUUGAGCCCAGGAGUUUGAGACCAGCCUGGGCAACAGAGCAAAACCUUGUCUCCAUUAAAUGUAAAAAUAAAAAUUGUAAUAGCUCCUGGAGUUCCUGGUUACUUUAUUGGACGCUGAAGGUUUAGACAAAUAGACUUGAAUGCCCCACUGACACCCCAGAGUGAACACUUCCCUGGAAACGCAGGUAGCACUGAACCAAGGCUUGGCACUGUGGCCCAAAGCCCACACUGCCAGGCUUCAAGCCCACACUGCCAGGCUUCAGAAACACCUAAGGUUGGGCCCCAGCUCUAGCACAGGGGCCACAGGUUUCUCAUUCUGUUAGCAGAGACCAGCUGGAGGUCAAGGUCCACAGUGGGUGGAACCUGUUGACAAGAUGUACACAAACCCAUCUCCAACCAGAGUACUCACAGGACAGCAAGGAAGAAGAAUCCAACCCAAAGCAGGCUCUCACUUCCUGAUUAUCAGAGGUGUACCAAGGCCAGACACUAUGUGGGUCUGAGAUGGAUCCCCCAGCCCCUACCUCACCCAGAAGUGGGAAGUGCAGGACCCCUCCCCCAACGUGGGAAUGGCAGACAGGAAAAGAAAAUAGAAAAACAGAACGUUUACCUGUUGUGGACUUUUAGAUAAUAUUUGCUGAGGAACUUUUUAUGACAUGUGGGGCAUUCGACCGGCACCGCUGUACCUUUUCUGUUCUCAGCAGGCUCAGACAUGUAAUCGCCAUCCCCAUCAUCCUCCACUUGAACCACCACUUCCCACUAGAGCACAAUAGGCAGCAGGAGGGGGUGGCGUCACCAAAUGAAUCAGCAGGAGUUGUAGGGACCCAGCUCCAGUUCCAUCCCAAGCCCCAACCCUGACAAGUCCCUUCAUCAGACAAGUUCCUUCAGGGGCCCAAGGCAGAGCAUCUGAAUCUUGGAUUCAGAGGAAAGUGGCUGUGUUUGUGGGGAACUGGAAGCUCAGCUGGAAACACUGCCCUGGGGAAACACCUGUAACCCUGAUGCUGCCCACUCCUCUCAGGAAGGUGGCAACCGUGAACAGCUGGGGCUUGCAGAAAGGUCAGCCUGAGGUCACCAGCUUCCUUUGGAGAAAGCCUGUUCCAAACCCACAUUAACAGAGAUUGUCUUAAGGUCCACAUAUUUUUUUUUUUUUUUUGAGACAGGAUCUUGCUCUGUCGCCUAGGCUGGAGGGUAGUGGCACCAUCUCAGCUCACUGCAACCUCCACUUCCUGGGCUCAAGUGAUCCUCCCACCUCACCCUCCUGAGUAGCUAGGACUACAGGUGUGUGCCACCACACCCGGCUAAUUUUUGUAUAGUCUUUGUACAAAUGAGGCCUCGCCAUGUUGCCCAGGCUGGUCUCGAACUCCCAAGCUAAAGUGAUCCACCCCCCUUGGCCUCCCAAAGUGCUAGGAUUACAGGCGUGAGUGAGCCAUCACACCCAGCCCAGGGUCCCUAUUAUACCAAAAAAGUGUCUAUUCCCUCUAUUUGUCUCCCCAGUCCCAACACCCUGGGCACAGUACCUCAUUACUGCCGCCCUGCAGCUGGGCACCUUCAGCCUCUAAGGGCCUUGGGGGCACUUUGCAGUCCUCGG
rnacentral:lncRNA from 1 species